GAUGAACGCUGGCUACAGGCUUAACACAUGCAAGUCGAGGGGAAACGCCGGGGAAGCUUGCUUCCCCGGGCGUCGACCGGCGCACGGGUGAGUAACGCGUAUCCAACCUGCCUCUGACUGAGGGAUAACCCGUCGAAAGUCGGCCUAAUACCUCAUGGCAUCGUCUGCGGGCAUCCAACGACGAUUAAAGAUUUCAUCGGUCAGAGAUGGGGAUGCGUCUGAUUAGCUUGUUGGCGGGGUAACGGCCCACCAAGGCGACGAUCAGUAGGGGUUCUGACAGGAAGGUCCCACAUAUUGUGACUGAGCCACUGUCCAAACUCCUACGGGAGGAAGCAGUGAGGAAUAUUAGGCAAGGGGAGAGGGCCUGAACCAGCCAAGUAGCGUGCAGGCUGACGGCCAUAGGGGUUGUAAACUGCUUUUAUGCGGGGAGAAAGUGAGGGACGUGUCCUUCAUUGAAGGUACCGCAUGAAUAAGGACCGGCUAAUUCCGUG
rnacentral:rRNA from 1 species